GUUAAGCGACUAAGCGUACACGGUGGAUGCCCUGGCAGUCAGAGGCGAUGAAGGGCGUGCUAAUCUGCGAUAAGCGCCGGUAAGGUGAUAUGAACCGUUAUAACCGGCGAUACCCGAAUGGGGAAACCCAGUGUGAUUCGUCACACUAUCAUUAACUGAAUCCAUAGGUUAAUGAGGCGAACCGGGGGAACUGAAACAUCUAAGUACCCCGAGGAAAAGAAAUCAACCGAGAUUCCCCCAGUAGCGGCGAGCGAACGGGGAGGAGCCCAGAGCCUGAAUCAGCAUGUGUGUUAGUGGAAGCGUCUGGAAAGGCGCGCGAUACAGGGUGACAGCCCCGUACACAAAAGCGCAUGUGCUGUGAGCUCGAUGAGUAGGGCGGGACACGUGGUAUCCUGUCUGAAUAUGGGGGGACCAUCCUCCAAGGCUAAAUACUCCUGACUGACCGAUAGUGAACCAGUACCGUGAGGGAAAGGCGAAAAGAACCCCGGCGAGGGGAGUGAAAAAGAACCUGAAACCGUGUACGUACAAGCAGUGGGAGCACAGGUUUACCUGUGUGACUGCGUACCUUUUGUAUAAUGGGUCAGCGACUUAUAUUCUGUAGCAAGGUUAACCGUAUAGGGGAGCCGCAGGGAAACCGAGUCUUAAUUGGGCGUUAAGUUGCAGGGUAUAGACCCGAAACCCGGUGAUCUAGCCAUGGGCAGGUUGAAGGUUGGGUAACACUAACUGGAGGACCGAACCGACUAAUGUUGAAAAAUUAGCGGAUGACCUGUGGCUGGGGGUGAAAGGCCAAUCAAACCGGGAGAUAGCUGGUUCUCCCCGAAAGCUAUUUAGGUAGCGCCUCGUGAAUUCAUCUCCGGGGGUAGAGCACUGUUUCGGCUAGGGGGCCAUCCCGGCUUACCAACCCGAUGCAAACUGCGAAUACCGGAGAAUGUUAUCACGGGAGACACACGGCGGGUGCUAACGUCCGUCGUGAAGAGGGAAACAACCCAGACCGCCAGCUAAGGUCCCAAAGUCAUGGUUAAGUGGGAAACGAUGUGGGAAGGCCCAGACAGCCAGGAUGUUGGCUUAGAAGCAGCCAUCAUUUAAAGAAAGCGUAAUAGCUCACUGGUCGAGUCGGCCUGCGCGGAAGAUGUAACGGGGCUAAACCAUGCACCGAAGCUGCGGCAGCGACGCUUAUGCGUUGCUGGGUAGGGGAGCGUUCUGUAAGCCUGCGAAGGUGGCCUGUGAGGGUUGCUGGAGGUAUCAGAAGUGCGAAUGCUGACAUAAGUAACGAUAAAGCGGGUGAAAAGCCCGCUCGCCGGAAGACCAAGGGUUCCUGUCCAACGUUAAUCGGGGCAGGGUGAGUCGACCCCUAAGGCGAGGCCGAAAGGCGUAGUCGAUGGGAAACGGGUUAAUAUUCCCGUACUUGGUGUUACUGCGAAGGGGGGACGGAGAAGGCUAUGUUGGCCGGGCGACGGUUGUCCCGGUUUAAGCGUGUAGGUGUGUGUUCCAGGUAAAUCCGGUUCACUUUAACACUGAGGCGUGACGACGAGGCACUACGGUGCUGAAGCAACAAAUGCCCUGCUUCCAGGAAAAGCCUCUAAGCAUCAGGUAACAUCAAAUCGUACCCCAAACCGACACAGGUGGUCAGGUAGAGAAUACCAAGGCGCUUGAGAGAACUCGGGUGAAGGAACUAGGCAAAAUGGUGCCGUAACUUCGGGAGAAGGCACGCUGACACGUAGGU
rnacentral:rRNA from 1 species